UACGUAGGGGGCAAGCGUUGUCCGGAAUCAUUGGGCGUAAAGAGCGCAUAGGCGGCCCUGUAAGUCCGCUGUGAAAGUCAAGGGCUCAACCCUUGAAUGCCGGUGGAUACUGCAGGGCUAGAGUCCGGAAGAGGCGAGUGGAAUUCCUGGUGUAGCGGUGAAAUGCGCAGAUAUCAGGAGGAACACCGAUGGCGAAGGCAGCUCGCUGGGACGGUACUGACGCUGAGGCGCGAAAGCGUGGGGAGCAAACAGG
rnacentral:rRNA from 1 species